UGGAUUAUUGGCAACAUAACUACAACACUGAGCACAGUGUUUAAGUUGCUUAGAGUUAUUCUGUAUGCAUUAAUGGAGAUAAUUCACUGACAAAGGCAGAAGGUAAAUAAAAAGUAUUGAUGAUAAAAGAUGCUCAUAUCUGAUUAUUAUUUUUAAAUUUGCUACAAGUCUACAAUUUUUUCAUGGACCAGACAGCUAUUGAAAGUUCAAGCCAUUAUUAUCCAGCAGAGAUUUAUAGGAUAAAAAUAUUAAUUUUAUUAGUUGUGAGCAGUUUAAUUCCUG